rnacentral:lncRNA from 1 species
AUCUUUCAUCAACAAUUGGCAUUGCUUUUAAUAAAAUGAAAAUAAAUACCCUCCCCAUCUCAUGCUCGUAAAAAAAAUGAAGAAGAAACAAAAAAAGUAAACUUUCUUCCUCACCUCUCUCUCUCUCUAAGAAAAAGUGCUUUCUUCAAACAAAACAAAAUCUAAAUAAAAGUGAAAAAAUAAAUAAAAACUUUCCUCUUAUGUAAAUCACACAAAAACACAUAUAACCUUUAAAUAUAUGUAAUAAGAAAAACAUGAGAAAAACAAAGUGAUUCUCGAAAUGUGGCGAGAGAUUAAUAAAGGGAAACAUCGGUGGAUGUGGUGAUGUUUGUCGAUGGCUGCGGUUGGUGGCUGUUGCGUUUUCUUCUAAUGUUGUUAUGUCGCAUCAUGGUUGAUGUGUGAUGGUGAUAACAUUUGUAGUUGGAUGUGUGCUUUGAAGGUGAGUUUGGAUUAUAAAAAAUGGAGGUUUUGUUGUUAAUCUAUGGUGGAAAAGUUGGAGGUUUAACUUGUGGUUUUGUUAGGUUAGUGGUAAGUGUGAUGUAUUAUGCAAGUGGAGAAUGAGGUUUUUAAUUGUUUUUAUACUUAAAUGGUUUGUGUGAGUGUUAUGAUUUUGUAGAAAUGUAAGAUGAAGAUGGCUUAAGGGAAUAAAUGAUGUUUUAUAGAAACAUUGGUGUUACAUGAAGAAGAAACGUUUAGAAAUGGUGAUUUGAUCUUUUUAAGGAGAAAAUGGUUGAAGAUGUGGUGUAUGUGAAGUUGGAGAAAUGUUAUUUAUGAUUAUUAGUUUGUUGUGAACAUGAGGAAGAGGCAUGGUGUGUUGUCAAAUGAAGGCAAGUUGAGUUAUAUUGUUUUUGCAUCACAUGAAGAAAAUAACAGUGGCUUUUUUUGUGUGAGAAGAAUGAAAUGUGUCUGAGGUUUAUAUUGAUUGAAGUGUAGGAACAUGGAAGUAGUGAAAUAGAAAAAGAACAGUAGACCGAAAAUGUAAGAAGCAAAGUUUGCAUUUUUUCCUUUUUUUUCCUGAACGAGGGAGCACCUUCUUCCUCUCUUUCUUUGUUAUGCUCGUUUCUCCUCUCUCAAAUUGCGCCACCUGUCUCGAUCUAUGUGGGCUUCCUCCUUUAAUGUAACAUAAAUUUACAAUUUAUACAAUGAGAGCUAGGCUUUUUAUUUUGAAUUUAAUCCCAAAAUGCCCUUGAGUUCUAAAAAUGAGUUUAAAUUCUAAAUCAAAUAAAAAUAAAAUGUUUUUAAAUAAGCAAGAAAAAAUUAAAAAGAAAAUGUAAUUAAUUCUAUUUAUUUUUUAUGAAUAUUUUGACUA